rnacentral:lncRNA from 1 species
GCCUUUUUAAUCCAGGUUUUUUCUUCUCUUUCCAGCAGAGAUUGAACAGUUUCCAUCUCAGAGGGGGAGGAGAGAGAUGUUAGUCUGGUGCUGCUGAGAAGGUGCAAGAGGUCCUGCAAAGCAUGGGAUGAAUAUGCAUAGAUAAUAUUCACUGCAUCAAAGCUGCUUCUCCUGUGAAUUUCAGGGAUUCUGCCAUGAAAGAAAGUCUCCAGCCAUCAGUGUACCUUGCUCCAACCCAAACCCUGUUUCUCUUGACUGUGCUGUCUCAAUCAAGGCUUUUUAUGCAUCUGAAGGUUUGAAUUUUGUUUUGUUUUUGUC